UACGCAGGGGGCUAGCGUUGCUCGGAAUUACUGGGCGUAAAGCGCACGUAGGCGGUUUGUUAAGUCGGGGGUGAAAUCCUGGAGCUCAACUCCAGAACUGCCUUCGAUACUGGCGAUCUCGAGUUCGGGAGAGGUGAGUGGAACUGCGAGUGUAGAGGUGAAAUUCGUAGAUAUUCGCAAGAACACCAGUGGCGAAGGCGGCUCACUGGCCCGAUACUGACGCUGAGGUGCGAAAGCGUGGGGAGCAAACAGG
rnacentral:rRNA from 1 species